ensembl:lncRNA
GGGGGUGCUAGUGGGUGGAGACCUGAUUAAGGAUCAAACGAGUUCUGAGUUGCAGAAUAGAUUCUGACUUUUUAAUCCUCACCUACCAGAUUUACUUCUGUGUCCAGAUAAUAUCCAAGGUAAAGGGGAGACAAUCUAUUUUACAUAUGUAGAUCUCGUACUAAAUUGUUUCACAAGUAAAAUCUAAGGUAAAACAGAGGCAAACUGAGUAAACACAAAAUGCAGGUUUUAAGUUAUAGUUAUUUACUGAAGCAAAAAGUUAUCCAAUACCAACUGAGCCUGUGUGAAAAUGUAUUCGCCCCCAUAGUUACUAAAUUCCCCAAUCUAUGAAACUGCAUUCAUAAUGGGGUUCAGCUGGACUAGACACAAGCAGGCCUGAUUACUGCAAACCCUGUUCCAUCACAUCAACACUCAAUAGAACUGUGUGUGUGUGUGUGAUUGAUUACUGGUGCGAGGGUGUGGGUGAGUGUGAGAUUACUGGUGCGAGGGUGUGGGUGAGUGUGAGAUUACUGGUGCGAGGGUGUGGGUGAGUGUGAGAUUACUGGUGCGAGGGUGUGUGUGAGUGAGAUUACUGGUGCGAGGGUGAGAGAUUACUGGUGUGUGUGUGAGAGAUACUGGUGUGAGGGUGAGUGUGAGAGAUUACUGGUGUGAGUGUGAGAGAUUACUGGUGUGAGUGUGAGAGAUUACUGGUGUGAGUGUGUGAGAUUACUGGUGUGAGUGUGAGAGAUUACUGGUGUGAGGGUGAGAGAUUACUACUGGUGGUGAGUGUGAUGAAGAUUACUGGUGUGAGGGUGAGUGUGAGAGAUUACUGGUGUGUGUGUGAGAGAUUACUGGUGUGAGGGUGAGAGAUUACUGGUGUGAGGGUGAGAGAUUACUGGUGUGAGGGUGAGAGAUUACUGGUGUGAGGGUGAGGGUGAGAGAUUACUGGUGUGAGUGUGAGAGAUUACUGGUGUGAGGGUGAGAGAUUACUGGUGUGAGGGUGAGAGAUUACUGGUGUGAUUGUGAGAGAUUACUGGUGUGAGUGUGAGAGAUUACUGGUGUGAGUGUGAGAGAUUACUGGUGUGAGGGUGAGUGUGAG